rnacentral:rRNA from 1 species
UACCAGCUCUCCGACGUGGUAGGGAUGUUUAUUGGGCUUAAAGCGUCCGUAGCCGGCUUAGCAAGUCUCCUGUUAAAUUCAGCGACCUAAUCGUUGAGCCGCGGGAGAUACUACUAGGCUAGGAGGCGGGAGAGGUCAACGGUACUUCCGGGGUAGGGGUGAAAUCCUAUAAUCCCGGGAGGACCACCAGUGGCGAAGGCUGUUGACUAGAACGCGCUCGACGGUGAGGGACGAAAGCUGGGGGAGCGAACCGGAUUAGAUACCCGGGUAGUCCCAGCUGUAAACGAUGCGAGCUAGGUGUUGGGGUGGCUACGUGCCACUUCAGUGCCGCAGGGAAGCCAUUAAGCUCGCCGCCUGGGGAGUACGGCCGCAAGGCUGAAACUUAAAGGAAUUGGCGGGGGAGCACCACAAGGCGUGAAGCUUGCGGUUC